rnacentral:snoRNA from 1 species
AGGCAGAACCUGCUCCAAGUACAGCUGUCAAGCAUCGCACUGCCUGUGCCUGCUGCUUAAACUAAUGCUGUUACCAGCUCAACCUUGUCUGCUGGGGCACUGUUGGCAGGGAUGGGUGGCGUCACACGU